rnacentral:tRNA from 1 species
GCCGGGGUCGCAUAACCUGGUAGUGCGCAAGCCUGGAAAGCUUGUCCCUAACGGGAAUCUGGGUUCAAAUAUGGUGCAGCUGAUCAAGCACGAGCAAUCGCUGCCUGACUUAACACGUGGAUAAUCAGUAUCCAUGCAUGCUGUACUGUGCGAAAGUCCCAGCUCCGGCG